rnacentral:rRNA from 1 species
GUGCAGCAGUCGCGAAAACUCCGCAAUACGCGAAAGCGUGACGGGGCUACCCCGAGUGUCGUCCGCUGAGGACGACUUUUCCACGCUGUAAGGAGGCGUGGGAAUAAGGAGAGGGCAAGUCUGGUGUCAGCCGCCGCGGUAAUACCAGCUCUCCGAGUGGUAGGGAUGAUUAUUGGGCUUAAAGCGUCCGUAGCCGGCUCAGCAAGUCUCCCGUUAAAUCCAGCGAUUUAAUCGUUGGAUUGCGGGGGAUACUGUUCGGCUAGGGGAUGGGAGAAGCCAACGGUAUUCCCGGGGUAGGGGUGAAAUCCUAUAAUCCUAGGGGGACCACCAGUGGCGAAGGCGUUCUGCGAGAACGGGCUCGACGGUGAGGGACGAAAGCCAGGGGCGCAAACGGGAUUAGAUACCCCGGUAGUCC